rnacentral:rRNA from 1 species
GUGUACCGGAAGGUGCACCUGGAAAGUCAGGAUAGAGCUUGAUUAGUUAAGCAUUUCAUUUACACUGAAAAUACACUGUGCAAUUCAGUUUAUUCUGAUAAAUUUUAACUUACUUUAGUUGUUAGUUGUUAAAAGUUUUUUUAAUUAAAUUAUUUUUAAUAGGUUAUGUUUGUGUAUAGAAUAUAGAUAAAAUUAUUUAAGUGGUAGGUUAAUUGUAUCGUGAGAGGUUGAUUGAAAUAGUUUGAAAAUAUAUUUUUAUAAAAGUAGAUUAAUGAUUGUACCUUGUGUAUCAGGGUUUAUUAAAAAAAUGGCAAAUAUUUGUAUUUUCCCGAUUUGAAGAGAGCUAAAUAAAUGUGUUAGUUAAUGUGGAAUAAUUAUUAAUAACAUUUAUUUAGUAAUGAAACGUUAUUCGUUCUUUAAGAUAUCUGGUUUUCCGAGAAAUGAAUUUAAUUCAGGUUUAAAAAAGUGUAAUUUAAUUUAUUAAAUAAAUCAUUUUUUUAAGCUAAUGCCCUGGGGGAUAAGCUUUAGGGUAGGUUUUAUAAUUAGUGAAAUUUUAAAAGAUUUAGUAGGCUUAGAAUUAGCCAUCUAUUAAAGGAUGUUAUAAUUUAAUUUUUUGUAAGUUUAAUUUUCUAAGAAUUUAAGUUUUAUAUCGGAGCAAUGUAACUAAUUUUUAGUUACUUGAGAUAAUGAUAAAAUUAGUAUAAAAAUUGUUUAAAUUAUUAAAAAAAAUGUUAGGUUACAUUAAGGAAUUAGGCAAAUUAGUACUCGCCUGUUUAACAAAAACAUGUCUUCUUGAUUAUAAUUUGAAGUCUGACCUGCCCACUGAAUUUUAUAUUUGAAGGGCCGCGGUAUUUUGACCGUGCAAAGGUAGCAUAAUCAUUAGUCUUUUAAUUGAAGGCUAGAAUGAAUGGUUGGACGAGGUACUGACUGUCUCGGUGUGAUUGAUAUUAGAAUUUAACUUUUAAGUUAAAAGGCUUAAUAUAUUAAG